GGAAAACAAGGAGAGAGAAAAUAUGUCCUCCUCCAACAAUGAUGGCGAUGAGCUCAAAAUCACCGAUCAUCCUUGAAAAACCAUGGCGAUGGGAUUCGCUUCUUCUCAGUGUUUCAAUUUCAUCAGUUUUGGCAACGCGGUUGCUAAGCAAAGAUGUUCGGAGGAAUGUUCUAGAAGAAACCAAGCAAGGAAGAAGCUCUGCCGCAGCUUCAAUCCCACGGAUUGAUGUUCGGAGCAUGGGUUGUUGCUAUUCGGGUCACUCCUUAUGUUCUUCAGUAUUUUUCCAGAAAGAGGAGAUUACUUUGGAUCUUUGAUUCAACCCCACCAAAAUUAAGAUGUUAAAAAUUUAAUUUUUGCAAGGAGGAAGAUGGACCCAGGUUUGGUGGAUUCGAGUUUGAGGUGAAGAUACUCGGGUAUUAUUGGAUGUUUGUUCUUUUUUUUUUUUUUUAUAUUAUUUUGAAACAUGUUUUGAUAUUAUAUUAUAGAGGACUAACAGUUUGAUGUAUCUGAAAGUUUAAAGUUUCGGUCAUAUUCAGGUUAGCAGUGCGAGGCAUGAGAUUCUUUUCGAAACAAUCCAAACCCUCACCGAUUUUACUUUCAUAUUGACUAGAGCUUAUGUUUCAGGCGAAGAAGGAUGUUUCAUGGAUGGUAUUAAUAAAAAUGGGGGUUAUAGGUGACAUUCCGGUAGCAGCUAUUGAGGAUGUAGAGCGCUGCUAAGUACUUAUGUGAUGUCUUUGCUAAGCUUUAUCAUCAGUUUCAGGGCUUCAAGUUGCGGAAACGAAACUAAAUGAGGGUUAGUUGCUGUACUGACCUUCUAUUCUUUGUAAACGCUGAAAUUCUUAGUUAUGCAGCUCAUGUUGGAGCAUCCAAAUAUAUUGUUAGUAACAUUAUUGUCUGAUUUGUAACAGAAUUGUUGAUCUACAGGUACAAUUCUAUCUCCCCUUUCUCUUUCUUGUUCUAAUUGGUUCAAUUUUCACCUAACCUUUAAUAUGAACAGCUUACUUGUUAUUUUUUUCCAUAUCUUUUUAUUUUCUCCCAAUAUUUUCUCUUUUUAAUAUGCUUAUAUGCAUAUGGUGUUUGCUGCCAAAAUUUAUGCUGUCAAGUUAGAUAUUGCUGUUGUGAGUGACUAUAGAGGGUAGAUGUUGUUUCACGCUGUUGCCGCUGUUAUUCUGGUGCUGCCCUGUUACUGCUAUUCUGUUCGUCCAAAAAUCAUCGACCUGAAGUUGUUUUUAGCUCAUAGUCCCUUCAUCAAUGUUUUAGAUCUCGAAAAGUUAUUCAAUCUAGGCUCAAGAAUUUCUCGAUUUGGAGUUGUGUGCUAGGAAUUAUGCCUUCUGGAAUUUACUACGGUCUGCUACCCUGGUUCUAUCGCAGCGGGCUGUUAUUGCUCAUUUGAUGCCUAUGUGGUGUUGUUGUGUUGAGUUGGUUGGGGUGCUAAAAUGAAUGCUUGGGCUUCUCUUAUUUAUUUUGUCUUCCCUUCUUCUUUUAUUUACACAUUAGUUAUAAAGUUAAAAUGUGGGCAAUUUUGGAUAAUGACUAAUUGAUAAUUUGCCAAAGUGAUGAGGGAUUAAUGUGUAUGUUAAAUUUUCAAAUGUGUGAGUGACUAAAGUUAAUUAGUUUAAAUGUAUUGAAGGGUUUAAAUGUUUAUAAAAUAGAUUUGAUGAACGAACACUAAUCUCCCCAAGUUUAUUCAUCACUCUUAAUUAACUUCUUAUUUCGUAUUACAUGAGCCUUUUGUUGUUUUUAUUAAAUGAGGUGAGAAAAUAUAUAUGUAAAGGUUUGUACAUGUGGUAUGUCUAGAUAAGGGUUGUGUUCUACUUAUAUGAAUGUAAUAACUUAUCAAGUGAGUUUGGGAAGUAUUAAGGAGUCAACAAAGAAGUCAUGUUUGAUAUGAUAGUCUCCUUAUAAUUUAUUAUUAUAUACGUGAGAGUAAUUUACACCAUACAACUGAUAACUUGAGAAUCCUUUAUCUUUUCUACUGUAAUAUUAGCAGCAAUUGCAGGUUGGUGCAAAAUAAUGCAGUGCUUGAAGUUAGUCUUGUGCUUCUAUAACAAAAAAGAAAAUUCAACUGCGUGGCCCUCCUUGAUUCCAUAUCAACUUAACUACCGAGAAAGCAGCCUGGACAUCCUUGUUAGAGUAAAGAGGUUAGUCUUUCAAAUAUAUUCACUCUUAUCUCCUAUUUUUGUAUGGCAACUAUGUGUGCCGUUUCCUGCUUAAAUUUAAUGAUGGUGAGCAGGAUCGUGAUCCUUUGUAUCUGAAAUAAUAAUUAGUUUUUAUUCAAAAGAUGUGCAAAGUUAGAUCAUUGUUAGACCUUGCAUUUCUAUGAAUCUCCAUGAGUUUGUGAGGCGAUGGAUUCUAAAAGUAUAUCAAGCUAUUAUGUUUGAGAUUAUUACAAUAUACUACUCUUCUAGACUUCUUGUUCUUGAGCACUUCAGUUAUUUUACAUCUCUGCUUGCUUACUUUAUUUUCUUGAUUGUAUUUAUUAAAAGCCUGCCAAUGGCCUAAUACUCAUUAAAGCUUAGAGAGUAGUCAUUACUUUAGGAAAAUACAACUCAUCACGAUCACCAAACAACGUAGUCAUGACACAAAAUUGAAUAUUGUUUAUGUCAUUUGUCAUUUAUGACUUUAUCGAUCCUAUAACACAUAAUGUGUGCUACAAAACUGACAGAAGUUUCUGAAGUGCACAUAAGGAAAUAGAUGACUUAAUGUUCCGAAGAUUCCUCUUACCUGUAAUCUUGUGAAGAAGACGGGUUCCAUGUUCUUAAAGUAUUUGAAAAGGAGGCAGACUUUUCUGCCUAAAGUUUGUCAUAAGAUAAGAGAAACAUUAUGACCUUUCCCAUAACAAAGUUAAUCUAGGAGGCAUAGAUAAAAAAUAAAAAAUAAAAAUAAAAAAUAAAAAAUAAAAAAAAAAGGACACCCUACUAUGAUUGCAUGAUUGCGUUCUCAGGUGGGCAUUACCUAAAUUCCAAAUCUGGUCGAAGGUCUUGAUGAGUUUAAGCGUCUUCUUGUAUAAAAUCUUGAUGAUCUGUGAGCAAUAAUGUACCCCUCGAAUCUGUCAGCUAGCCCUGAUACAACAACUGAGUUGUAGUAACUCUAAAGUUACUGUAGUUCUCACUUGCUCGCUCUGCUUUGUUGAGUUCCAGGGGGAAAAGAAGAGAAGAUCGAGAGGAAGACAAUCUCAGAGAAGUUCUCAAUCAAUCUGCUCAAAUGCUUUUGGAGCUCCGAACCUCAUAAUAAGUAUCUCUCUUACUAAAUUGUUGCUUCUUCGUGUUUCUUCUGCACAUCCUGUAUGCCUUGUUCUUGAGUAGGCUUGGGAUGAAGGCAUCAUUGGCAUUCCAGAAUUAUGGUGCUGAAUGAAUAGUGGGUUCUAUGAAUUGUUUUUGGGUUUAUUUCUUAAUAUAUACUGCUUUGGUAAAACCUCUCAUCUUCUUAUGAUGCUUUGCCUUAUACAGUACAUUUAUAUUUAGAUUAGAGAAAUUGGCAACACAUUAUUCUUUUCGUCAAACAUGAUAGACAAUGAACUUGGUUAUUGCUUAUAUAUAUUAAGCAUUUUUGGUUAAUGGCUGCUCGUAAAGGCUCUCAUGGGAAGACCCACAAUUUUCUAUGGAAUGCUUAUUGUGAGAUUUCUUAUAUUUGAUUUCUGAUCGGACGUGUAUGCAGCUUAGUGUUUUUUUUUCUUUUUUUUUUCGCAUUAUGUAUUUAUAUUGUGCCUUGUGGAUAUAAGUCUAGACCAUGCUUUUCCCCAUAGAUCUAUCGCAGAUUAAGUGUAUAAGCUGUUAAAGGCAGCUAGAAUAAUAGAAUUAAGUAUCUUGAAUUUAAAGUAUCAGCUUUUGCAUAUGCCUUCAUCAUCAUUUAGAUAUCUUAAAUAUUUGUCCGCAAGUUAAUACAUUUGUUCUUUUUUGUUUGCUUAUCUAUGUAACUGAUAUAUCUGCAGGUUAAUUAUUUGGUGGUUACAAAUAUCUCUUAAUAUGGGUGACAUUCAGAAUGCUCCUCUUUCAGAAGAGGAAACUACUUGUAGGUUUCUUUUGUAUGAACUUUAGAUAAUUUUGGGAUGAAGUGAGCAAGCCUGAAAUAUUAGGGCCAAGAUAUUACUUGUAGCAGUGGAGCACGUGCUUAAAGGCGCCAAAAAGACAAGGAUACAACCAGAUGAAGCAUGUGUGAGAUGGUGAUAGUGUUAUAGGUUGAGGUUAUGGGAUUUAAUUUCAUUUGUAGUACAAGUAGUAUUUAAUUUAUAUUUUUAAAUGGUAGAAAUGGGUAGAAUUAGAUACGUAAAUGAUGAAGUAAUGCAAGAGCAUAUAAGUGAAUAUAUGAGCAUAAUGUGUACUUGUUUUCAACUUCAAUAUGUGUAUUGUGAUUUUAGUAGAGAAAUUAUAGUUUUGUUCUUGA